ACCUGCGGAGGAUCAUUAUCGAAUGAAUGUAGAGUCGGCUGUAGCUGGUCUUAAGACAUGUGCACGCCUUCUCUUUCAUCCACACACCCCUGUGCACUUGUGAGACGGAGGCCGUUCCCUUUAGUUAGAGAGCGUGUUUCCGCCUGCUAGACAUAAAAUCAUAUCAUCAAAUCUGAAUGUAAUCUGAUGUAACGCAUCUAAUACAAAGUUUCAACAACGGAUCUCUUGGCUCUCGCAUCGAUGAAGAACGCAGCGAAAUGCGAUAAGUAAUGUGAAUUGCAGAAUUCAGUGAAUCAUCGAAUCUUUGAACGCACCUUGCGCUCCUUGGUAUUCCUCGGAGCAUGCCUGUUUGAGUAUCAUGAAAUUCUCAGAGCAAGCCUUUUGUUAAUUCAUUAGGCUUUGCUUUGGACUUGGGGGCUGCAGAUUUGAAAAUCUGCUCCCCUUAAAUAAAUUAGCUGGAUCUCCGUAAACUUGGUUCCACUCGGCGUGAUAAGUAUCACUCGCUGAGGACACCCCGUAAAAAGGUGGCCAGGYCUUCGG
rnacentral:rRNA from 1 species